rnacentral:rRNA from 1 species
CCUACGGGUGGCAGCAGUGGGGAAUAUUGCGCAAUGGGCGCAAGCCUGACGCAGCGACGCCGCGUGAGGGAUGAAGGUCUUCGGGUCGUAAACCUCUGUCAGCAGGGAAGAACGGUCACUGUGCUAAUCAGCAGUGAAUUGACGGUACCUGCAAAGGAAGCACCGGCUAACUCCGUGCCAGCAGCCGCGGUAAUACGGAGGGUGCGAGCGUUAAUCGGAAUUACUGGGCGUAAAGCGCUCGUAGGCGGUAUGUCAAGUCAAGGGUGAAAUCCCCGCGCUCAACCUGGGAACUGCCUUUGAAACUGGCAAACUGGAGUGUGGGAGAGGAGAGUGGAAUUCCAGGUGUAGGAGUGAAAUGCGUAGAUAUCGGGAGGAACACCAGUGGCGAAGGCGACUAUCUGGCACAUAACUGACGCUGAGGAGCGAAAGCGUGGGUAGCAAACAGGAUUAGAUACCCGUGUAGUC